CUUCCCAACUUCCUCCCAAGGAUGUCCAUGGCAAUGGCAAUUCAUUCUGGCUCUCUAGUGCACCCACUCAGCAGAAGGUCUCAGUGUAAGUGACAGACAGUUCUUAAUGUUGCUCUUGACCAAUGACAAGGUUUCUGGCUGCCCAGG
rfam:Loxodonta africana unplaced genomic scaffold scaffold_24, whole genome shotgun sequence.